rnacentral:lncRNA from 10 species
ACUGUAAAAUAAAAUAAUAGUAAGCUUGACCUCCUGAAUGUAUAAGCAUCUAACAGCAGAGCUUCAAAAUAUAUGCAGCAAAAAAAGGACAAAAAUUUAAAAAGGUAUCAGGCCAGGCCCCAUGGCUCAUGCCUGUGAUCCCAGCACUUUCGGAGGCCAAAGCAGGUGUAUCUCUUGAGCUUAAGAGUUCGAAACCAGCCUGGGCAACAUAGUGAGACACUGCCUCUACAAAAUAUUAAAAAAUUAGCCCAGCAUGGUGGUGCGUGCCUGUGGUCCCAGCUACUCCAAAGGCUGAGGUGGGAGGAUUGCUUGAGCCUGGGGGGCAGAGGUUGCAGUGAGCUGUGAUUGUGCCACGCACCAUAGCCUACAUGUCAGAGCCAGAUUCUGUCUAAAAUUAAAAAUAAAAAAAUACACAAUUCGAGUAGAAUAAUUCAACACUUGCCUCUCAGUAAAUGAACAAGUAGACAGAAAAUCCGUAAGGAUACAGAGGAUAUAGAAGACUUGAACAAUGCUAUCAACCAACAGGACCUAGCUGACAUUUAUAGAACACUCCAUCCAACGUCAGCAGAAUACACAUCCAUUUCAAGUGCACAUGGAGCAUUCAUCAGGACUGAUAAUCCAGUGGGCCAUGAAGCAAAUCUCAAGAAAUUUUAAAAGACUGAAAUCAUGCAGACUAUGUCCUCUAAUCACAAUAGAAUUAAAUUUGAAAUUAAUGCCAGAAAGAUAACUGGAAGAUCUCACAAAUAUUUAGAUAUUAAACACUACUUGUUUGGUUAACCCAUUGGCCAAAGCAAAAAUGAAAAGGGAAAUUGGAAAAUCUUUUGAACUAAAUAAAAAUUAAAACACAAUACUGUCUGUCAAAAUUUGUGGUAUGUCUUUUCAACAAACAGUGCUAAAACAUUUGUAUAUUCAUAAAGGGGGAAAAUGAACCUCAAUCCUUACCUCACUUCAUAUACAAAAUUAACAUGAAAUGGAUAAGAAACCUAAAUGUAAGAGGUAAAACCAUAAAGCUUCUAGAAAAACAAGAAAAUCUUUGUGAUCUUAGGAUGGCAAAGAUUUCUUGAGGUACACAUAAAAUCAUGAACCAUAAAUGAAAAAAAUUGUAUACAAUCCCAUAAAGUAUAUUUCAAUAUAUGGAUGAUUGUACUAUAUAUUACCGACCUAAUAUUAACAUUGAUUACUUCUGGUAAAAUAUAUAAUGGAGAGAAGAAUGAAGAAGGAUGGAGGCAUUUUAUUUUCCUUAAAUUUUUGUGUACUGUUUAUAAUUUUUUAAAAUAAGAUUCUACUACUUUCAUAAAAAUAAGAAUAAACUUUUAAAAUAUAUGUUCUAUAGAAUGUGCUGGCUGACACUUCUUUCAGAAUGAGAUCUCAGCACAAAGGAAUACAAGCCCUGGGAACAGAUAAGGUGGGGGCCAAUAAGGGAAAUGAUUUUCUGAGGAUUCCCACCCCUGUUUCCCUCACAAAUUAUAG